CACGUAGGGCGCGAGCGUUGUCCGGAAUUAUUGGGCGUAAAGAGCUCGUAGGCGGCCUGUUGCGUCCGCUGUGAAAGCCCGGGGCUUAACCCCGGGUCGCAGUGGAUACGGGCAGGCUAGAGGUAGGUAGGGGAGAAUGGAAUUCCCGGUGUAGCGGUGAAAUGCGCAGAUAUCGGGAGGAACACCGGUGGCGAAGGCGGUUCUCUGGGCCGUAACUGACGCUGAGGAGCGAAAGCGUGGGGAGCAAACGGG
rnacentral:rRNA from 1 species